UACGGGGGGGGCAGGCGUUGUUCGGAAUUACUGGGCGUAAAGGGCGCGUAGGCGGCCAACUAAGUCGGAUGUGAAAUCCCCAGGCUUAACCUGGGAACUGCAUCCGAUACUGGAUGGCUUGAAUUCGGGAGAGGGAUGCAGAAUUCCAGGUGUAGCGGUGAAAUGCGUAGAUAUCUGGAGGAAUACCGGUGGCGAAGGCGGCAUCCUGGACCGACAUUGACGCUGAGGAGCGAAAGCUAGGGGAGCAAACGGG
rnacentral:rRNA from 1 species